rnacentral:rRNA from 1 species
GAUGAACGCUGGCGGCGUGCCUAAUACAUGCAAGUCGAGCGAACAGAUGAGGAGCUUGCUCCUCUCUCGUUAGCGGCGGACGUGUGAGUAACACGUGGAUAACCUACCUAUAAGACUGGGAUAACUUCGGGAAACCGGAGCUAAUACCGGAUAAUAUAUUGAACCGCAUGGUUCAAUAGUGAAAGACGGUUUUGCUGUCACUUAUAGAUGGAUCCGCGCCGCAUUAGCUAGUUGGUAAGGUAACGGCUUACCAAGGCAACGAUGCGUAGCCGACCGGAGAGGGUGAUCGGCCACACUGGAACGGAGACACGGUCCAGACUCCUACGGGAGGCAGCAGUAGGGAAUCGUACGCAAUGGGCGGAAGCAUGACGGAGCAACGCCGCGUGAGUGAUGAAGGUCUUCGGUUCGUAAAACUCUGUUAUGAGGGAAGAACAAAUGUGGAAGUAACUAUGCACGUAGUGACGGUACCUAAUCAGAAAGCCACGGCUAACUACGUG